CACCGGCAGCUCAAGUGGUAGCCGCUUUUAUUGGGCCUAAAGCGUCCGUAGCCGGUCUGAUAAGUCUCUGGUGAAAUCCCACAGCUUAACUGUGGGAAUUGCUGGAGAUACUAUCAUGACUCGAGGUCGGGAGAGGCUGGAGGUACUCCCAGGGUAGGGGUGAAAUCCUGUAAUCCUGGGAGGACCACCUGUGGCGAAGGCGUCCAGCUGGAACGAACCUGACGGUGAGGGACGAAAGCCAGGGGCGCGAACCGG
rnacentral:rRNA from 3 species